rnacentral:rRNA from 1 species
GAUGAACGCUAGCGGCAGGCUUAAUACAUGCAAGUCGAGGGGCAGCAUGAUUGUAGCAAUACAAUUGAUGGCGACCGGCAAACGGGUGCGGAACACGUACACAGCCUCCCAAUAAGUGGGGAAUAGCCCAGAGAAAUUUGGAUUAAUACCCCGUAACAUAACGAUGUGGCAUCACAUUGUUAUUAUAGAUUUUUCGCUUAUUGAUGGGUGUGCGGCUGAUUAGAUAGUUGGCGGGGUAACGGCCCACCAAGUCUACGAUCAGUAGCUGAUGUGGGAGACAGAUCAGCCACACAGGCACUGAGACCCGGGCCCGACUCCUACGGGAGGCAGCAGUAAGGAAUAUUAGACAAUGGACGCAAGUCUGAUCCAGCCAUGCCGCGUGAAGGAUUAAGGUCCUCUGAAUUGUAAACUUCUUUUAUAAGGGACGAAAAAAGGCAUUUCUAAGUCGUCUGACGGUACCUUAUGAAUAAGCACCGGCUAACUCCGUGCCAGCCGCCGCCGUAAAAC